AUGGCGUCCAUGACCAGGGAGACACCUGUCGCCCGUUUCGUUGAGGAGGAGGAGGAUGACCUUGUCGGCGAUGAUAGUGGGGACGACGGUGACGAGGUACUGGAGGUGAGGAGGCGCGUGUCCCGCUUCGCCGUCGGGGGAGACGACGGCGCCGGCGGGGCGGGAGAGGUGAGGAGGCGCGUGUCCCGCUUCGCCGUCGACGGGGGCAGCGGCUCGGGCGGCAGCCGCGGUGUCUUGUCAAGGAGACAGGAGGUCGUCGACGCGGGCGUCCAGGGCCGACGCCGCCACGACGGCGGCUGCGAGGGGGCCCGGACCCUGCCGCCGCCGCACGCGUGGCUGGCUGUGGAGGACACGAAGAAGAGCUUCGGGAGCGACAACGAGGAGCAUUGGGCGCGGCUUCUGCAGCGCGGGUCGGCUCAGGCGGAGGCGGCGCAGCCGCGGCGGAGCAGCUUCAGCGUGGUCCGGCGGGAGCGGGCGGCGCGGGAGGCGUGGCUGGACCGCGCGUGGGAGAUGAAGAAGAGCUGGCACGAGCGCAACGGUGGCGCCCCCGACGCCGACACCCCCGUGGUGGUCGUGGUGGGGAAGCAGACCGGCGGGUCCUCGUCCCCGUGCGCCUCCUCCUCCCCGCACCACCACUCGUCCGCCAGCGUCGCGAUGGACAUGGAGGAGGUGCGUGCGUGCAGGGACCUCGGCCUCGAGCUCCCCUCCGACGGCACCGUAGAAAUUCAAUGCUACGGCAUCUCCGCCGGCAGCAGCCCUACCCACAGCCACGCCAGCAGCGGCGCCGACUCGCCCUCCACCGCCGGCAGCUGCUCCAUCUCCAGCCCCAGCGCCGGGGAGGAUCCGGUGGACGUGAAGGCGAGGCUCAAGGUGUGGGCGCAAGCGGUGGCGUUGGCAUCCACCACCCGUCUCGGAUCUUGA
rnacentral:rRNA from 1 species